rnacentral:rRNA from 1 species
UACGGGGGGGGCAAGCGUUGUUCGGAAUUACUGGGCGUAAAGGGCUCGUAGGUGGCCAACUAAGUCAGACGUGAAAUCCCUCAGCUUAACUGGGGAACUGCGUCUGAUACUGGAUGGCUUGAGUUUGGGAGAGGGAUGCGGAAUUCCAGGUGUAGCGGUGAAAUGCGUAGAUAUCUGGAGGAACACCGGUGGCGAAGGCAGCUCGCUGGGACGGUACUGACGCUGAGACGCGAAAGCGUGGGGAGCAAACAGG